UAGAUUGAGAGAUAGGAUGAAAUGCAGGUUGAGCAAACAUUUUUAGUAGAGGUUUCUUGACUUGACAGAAUAAAGGUUUUACGACUAUUUGGACUAUUUUAUAGUGAGCAUCAUGCAUUCAUCAAGAAGGCUGAUGACCAACCUAUUCCAUGGUUGGCCCUAAUACUGUGUGUUCAUCUCUUUCCAUUUCUCAUGGUAAUACUUUGUCAUUUUAAAAUUCCACCUUUAUUAUAGUGAAGUAGGCAUGUUUUAUAACAACGAUACUUGCCACAAUGCUUGAUCCUAACUUACCUCUAGAAUAUAUUUGUUUGUUAAAUAAUCCAUAUUUUAGUCCUUAGUAAGGAUCGGACAAUGUGAAUCUUGGAAGAAAUAAUUUAAAGAGAUGUCACAAAACUAAUUAUGCGCUAACAAUUAGAGCUAUGCUUAUAUAGGUUUACUGUUUAUUCCGGACUGGGACUCGUUUUUCUACCAAUGUGGAUUCCCUCUUUUCUAUCUGUGAUGGAACUCCUGAGUUUCGGGUAGGCACAAGGCUACCCAGGAGAUUACAUUUCCCAGAAGCCUCAUUUGAAGCUGGCUGUGAGUGGAGGUGAUGUGAACCACUUCUGUGCUGUCUCUUAAAAGGGGAUUUUGACCUUUCUUCCUUAUCCCUGAGAAAAAGACACAGUAUCAAGAGAAGAAACAGCUUCCUCAGAUCUUGAAGUUACAGCUGCGGAUUGAGAAAGGCAGUGCUGCCAUACUGGCGAUGUCUUUCUGAAACAUACUGUAAACCAGAGAGAGAUGGCAUUUCUGGUCUCCUUGAUAUAACAGCUCAGACAAUACCUUAAUAGUAUAUUAACAUUUUAAAAUUCAACUUCUGUUUUAUAUCUUUAUGACUUUCCUCAUGUCCUUACCUCGGGAAGAGGUUAUUCCCUGUUGUCCAGGUGUAUAAAAGAGCAACAGGCUGAAUUUGACCCAUAUACCAGAGCUUGUCAACACCUGAUUUGCCAUAAGUUUCUAUCCAGUACACAAAAGCUAAAAACUUCUCAAAGCAGACAGUAUCUCCAGAACAAGAAAGAUCAUACUCAGAACUCGUCGUCUCACUUGAAGAUUCGACAUCAUAGAGAGUCAAAGAUAAAAUGCCUAACCGCGAACUGCGGUUUUGGUAAACAAGGUACCCUUCGGGUUAUUUUAAAAUUCAGCAUCAGUUGCAUUACUUUCCUGCUCAUGUGACAUUUUCAUGUCCCCUUUCACUAGCCAGGUUUUGAAAAACUUGUUUCAACAAUGUUCAGCUAGAUAAUAGGUCCCUGAGCAAGUAACAGUGAAGUGGUACAAAUAUUAAAAGCAUUCCGUGCCCUUUGAAAAUAUUAUGAAAGUUACUGCACAGAUGGGCUGAAAGUUUAAUUACCUCGAAAGAAGAGUGUCAGAGUCAUCAUCGCUGCUGCAACAACUGGAAAUGUAACAACCAAAAUAUCCAUCAGGAAAUGACUCUGAGAGUAUAUAUCAAAUGCACUGAAGAAACAGCUGCCAUUCCAUUUAUGUCACCCAGACAUGAGAAUUGCAGGGAUUGGAAUAACAUGAAGAUGCCGCAUUGGCUUUUUCUUAAUUUGACAUUUUCUAGGCAUUUCUCAAAUGUGCCAGACUGGGAGAAAUGUAUGAAGUAGAGUAACACGCACCAAGUGAAACAACUCAGGUUCAAUUUCAUGUAUUUUUGGUGUGCAAUUUUGUGUGUGUGUGUGUUCAUAGUUCUAUUACAGGGUGUAAAAUUUAAUUUUUAGUACAUUUUUAUUACAGAGAUAAGAUAACUAAUAUUAUCUACAUAGAAUUGCUAAGCUUUCUUUAAACGAAAAUGUUAUGCAAUUUGGGUCUUCGUAAAUGGUCUCUAAUAAUGUUUUCUACUGUUAUAUAUUAUUAUAUAAAUACUUGAUGUGAAAUCCUAUUUCAGCACCAUAGCUGUAUGGCAGAUGUCAGAAUGUGUGAGAAGAAACAUUCAACAAAGGUUAUUUUUUCAGAGUAAGUAUUCAUUCCUCUGCAUCAAAGGAGAAAGUGCAUAAGGAGAUUGUAAGAAUAUUUAAAAACUGCUCUUCAGACAACUUACUGUAAGUCAUAUGGCCCACUAUGGCAUCUUGCCAUUCUCCGCAUUCUGUUGUUGCUGGCAAUGUUUUAGCCAGAAUUCUUUAAGCCUGAUUUAUUAUUACAGAUAAUGGUAAACUAUGUCGUUAGGAAGCACAAUAUAGUUGAGAGCUAUAAAAGAGACGUGUGUUCAUUUAUAUUUAUCAGAGUAAGUUUUAAAAGUACAAGAAACAAUACCGCAUAUUCUGGAAAAUAUUACAGAAUCUAAGCUAGUAUAAAGAGAUGUAUAUAUUAAUAUCAAUUUCUGAGAAGCAUUAUGAUUUGUGGUUAAUCAAACCUAAAUAUGCUGAAUCCCAACUGAAUUAGGGAGAACUAGUUUUUACUCCCAAACAUGCAUUUAAUAUAUAAGCCAAGUCUUACCUGAGAUCUUGGGAAAUGAGAAUAGAACUGGGAAGAUAGUUACAUAUAGAGUGGUGGCUAAUAAAUAAGUAGUAGCUUCUGUAAUUUGGACA
rnacentral:lncRNA from 1 species